rnacentral:rRNA from 1 species
GGCCCGGCCUGCUGCACCGGACCUGCGGAGGGAUCAUUACACAAAGAUUCGCUGCGGGCUGGAACCUGUCGGGGUUACAGCCUUGCUGAAUUAUUCACCCUUGUCUUUUGCGUACUUCUUGUUUCCUUGGUGGGUUCGCCCACCACUAGGACAAACAUAAACCUUUUGUAAUUGCAAUCAGCGUCAGUAACAAAUUAAUAAUUACAACUUUCAACAACGGAUCUCUUGGUUCUGGCAUCGAUGAAGAACGCAGCGAAAUGCGAUAAGUAGUGUGAAUUGCAGAAUUCAGUGAAUCAUCGAAUCUUUGAACGCACAUUGCGCCCUUUGGUAUUCCAAAGGGCAUGCCUGUUCGAGCGUCAUUUGUACCCUCAAGCUUUGCUUGGUGUUGGGCGUCUUGUCUCUAGCUUUGCUGGAGACUCGCCUUAAAGUAAUUGGCAGCCGGCCUACUGGUUUCGGAGCGCAGCACAAGUCGCACUCUCUAUCAGCAAAGGUCUAGCAUCCACUAAGCCUUUUUUUCAACUUUUGACCUCGGAUCAGGUAGGGAUACCCGCUGAAC